UGGGGAAUCUUGGACAAUGGGGGCAACCCUGAUCCAGCCAUGCCGCGUGGGUGAAGAAGGCCUUAGGGUUGUAAAGCCCUUUCGGCGGGGAAGAUGAUGACGGUACCCGCAGAAGAAGCCCCGGCUAACUCCGUGCCAGCAGCCGCGGUAAUACGGAGGGGGCUAGCGUUGUUCGGAAUCACUGGGCGUAAAGGGCGCGUAGGCGGACCACCAAGUCAGGGGUGAAAGCCCUGGGCUCAACCUAGGAAGUGCCCUUGAAACUGAUGGUCUUGAGUCCGGGAGAGGAGAGCGGAAUUCCCAGUGUAGAGGUGAAAUUCGUAGAUAUUGGGAAGAACACCGGUGGCGAAGGCGGCUCUCUGGACCGGCACUGACGCUGAGGCGCGAAAGCGUGGGGAGCAAACA
rnacentral:rRNA from 1 species